rnacentral:rRNA from 1 species
UAGAGUUUGAUCCUGGCUCAGAUUGAACGCUGGCGGCAUGCCUUACACAUGCAAGUCGAACGGUAACAGGUCUUCGGAUGCUGACGAGUGGCGAACGGGUGAGUAAUACAUCGGAACGUGCCCGAUCGUGGGGGAUAACGGAGCGAAAGCUUUGCUAAUACCGCAUACGAUCUACGGAUGAAAGCAGGGGACCGCAAGGCCUUGCGCGGACGGAGCGGCCGAUGGCAGAUUAGGUAGUUGGUGGGAUAAAAGCUUACCAAGCCGGCGAUCUGUAGCUGGUCUGAGAGGACGACCAGCCACACUGGGACUGAGACACGGCCCAGACUCCUACGGGAGGCAGCAGUGGGGAAUUUUGGACAAUGGGCGAAAGCCUGAUCCAGCCAUGCCGCGUGCAGGAUGAAGGCCUUCGGGUUGUAAACUGCUUUUGUACGGAACGAAAAGACUCCUUCUAAUAAAGGGGGUCCAUGACGGUACCGUAAGAAUAACACCGGCUAACUACGUGCCAGCAGCCGCGGUAAUACUUAGGAUGCAACGUUAUCGGAAUUAUGGGCUUAAGCGUGCGCAG